rnacentral:rRNA from 1 species
AUGUACGCUAGCGGCAGGCUUAACACAUGCAAGUCGAGGGGCAGCGCGGGAUAGCAAUAUCCUGGCGGCGACCGGCGGAAGGGUGCGUAACGCGUGAGCGACAUGCCCGUUGCCCGGGGACAACCGGUGGAAACGCCGACUAAUCCCCGAUGGGAUAUUGUGCCGCAUGGCACGAUAUUGAAAGUUACGGCGGCGACGGAUUGGCUCGCGUCCGAUUAGCUUGUUGGCGGGGUAACGGCCCACCAAGGCUGCGAUCGGUAGGGGUUCUGAGAGGAAGGCCCCCCACAAUGGGACUGAGACACGGCCCAUACUCCUACGGGAGGCAGCAGUGAGGAAUAUUGGUCAAUGGGCGGAAGCCUGAACCAGCCAUGCCGCGUGCGGGAAGGAGGCCCUAUGGGCUGUGAACCGCUUUUGCCUGGGGGCAAUAAGGGCGUCGCGCACGUCCGAUGAGAGUACCAGGCGAAUAAGCAUCGGCUAACUCCGUG